UCGUGGGUGUAGGUCGGCAGGCCGAUCAGGCUGUUGGGGCCGGCCAGGCGCUGCAGUUCGGCAUCGCUGUUGACGGUC
rnacentral:tRNA from 1 species